GAUGAACGCUAGCGGCAGGCCUAACACAUGCAAGUCGGACGGGAUCCAGGAGCUUGCUUCUGAUGACAGUGGCGCACGGGCGCGUAACACGUAUGUAACCUACCUUUAUCAGGGGGAUAGCCUCUCGAAAGAGAGAUUAAGCCCGCAUAAAAUCACAGCACAGCAUUGUGUAAUGAUCAAAUAUUUAUAGGAUAAAGAUGGGCUUGCGGAACAUUAGCUAGAUGGCGGGGUAACGGCCAACCAUGGCUACGAUGUUUAGGGGACCUGAGAGGAUGGCCCCCCGGACUGGUACUAAGGAACAGACCAGGCUGCUACGGGAGGCAGCAGAAAAUAGGAUUAGGCAAUGAGCGGUAGCCUAGCCCAGCCAAGCCGCGGAAGAAAAGACUGCCGUUCGGGAUGUAAACUGCUUUUAUACAAAAGUAACCCCAGAUACGUGUAUCUGGCUGAAUGUACUGAAAGAAUAAGGAUCGGCUAACUCCGUG
rnacentral:rRNA from 1 species